AUGGAAUGGUUACUUAUGAAAAGA
rnacentral:miRNA from 1 species